AGGGUUUGAUUAUGGCUCAGGAUGAACGCUGGCGGCGUGCCUAACACAUGCAAGUCGAACGGAACUUCUUUGACAGAAUUCUUCGGAAGGAAGUUGAUUAAGUUUAGUGGCGGACGGGUGAGUAACGCGUGAGUAACCUGCCUUUGAGAGGGGAAUAACUUCCCGAAAGGGAUGCUAAUACCGCAUAAUGCAUAUUUAUCGCAUGGUAGAUAUGCCAAAGAUUUAUCGCUCAAAGAUGGACUCGCGUCCGAUUAGCCAGUUGGCGGGGUAACGGCCCACCAAAGCGACGAUCGGUAGCCGGACUGAGAGGUUGAACGGCCACAUUGGGACUGAGACACGGCCCAG
rnacentral:rRNA from 1 species